UUUCUGAAGAUGAAAGGAAAGGAAGAGUCCAGAGUGGAUUGGAAAAUGGAGACUCUGCCACACAGCAAGCAGAUGGACUCCAGCAGUUGUGGAGUUUUAGUGUUGAAGUUUGCCGAACACUACCUUAUGAGUGGAGAGGUUACUAGGGUGCUGUCCACUCCAGAAGCCAUUGGGCUGCAACGCACAGAAAUUGCUUGCGAACUGCUAGAACAUCAAAGUAAUGCUGAUGACUACUGUGUGGUUUGUUCCAUGCUGGAAGCCGAUCCUGAGACCAGUAUGAUUGAAAUGGUAAAACAAAUAAACCACAAAUGCAAUAUACAGUUACUUGCAACAUUAUUCGGCCCCCUUGAACUU